GGGUGGGAAAGGCGGCCGCAGUUCACCAAGGGUCACGUCGGGCGGGCCCGCAGCUCCUCGGAUCCCGGCUAAGGAAGCGAGGGAAGCGGGAAUUCAGGGCUGCCUCUUCCAGGAGGCCCGCUGCCGAGAGGCUGAGCGCCGCCGGGGCCACGCAUUCCCAGCAGCUGGGAUGAAGCCUUCCCAGCGAGGAGUUGGAGUUGAGUACAAAAGUCCGGUUCCAGACUGUCUCAGAACUGAAGAAGCCAGUCGUGAGAUUCUUUUCACUAUUUACUUUUUACUGACAGCCAGUAACUGUCACUUAUCUAUAAGCUUCUAACAGCUUCAGCUUACUGGUUUAAAAAAAAAAAUUUCUAGACAAGAAGCCAAGUUUAAACUCAGAAAGAGAAAUUUAAGCAACAACUUAAAGAAAUCGAGCUUGUUAGCCUUAAAAUAAAUGAUUUGUGGGGCACUCAAUAGUACAUGGGGUGAAGACUUGGGAAGAAUAGAAGAUUAAAGACUUGGGGGCAGCAGAUGUCAAAUAAGACACUUCUGUGUUCAAAAGAACCAAUGCAUUACAUUGAUUGAUCUGCAUAUGUUGAACCAUCCCUGCAUCCCUGAGAUGAAUGCCACUUGGUCCGGGUGUAUGAUCUUCUUGAUGAUCAUCUGCGUUCAAAUUUUUGAAAUUAAAUUUGUUUAAUAAAAUUUACUUCACAAAUUUAUCAUUUUUACACAUUAUAUUGCAAACAUAGUCACCUAAAUUGUCAUUUUUUCCCUAAAACUAACUUGUGAGUAAAUUGUAAACACUGUCUCUUUAG
rnacentral:lncRNA from 1 species